GAGGGGCCUGCGGUCCAUCAGCUAGUUGGUAGGGUAAUGGCCUACCAAGGCUACUACGGAUAGGGGACCUGAGAGGGUGGCCCCCCACACUGGCACUGACACACGGGCCAGACUCCUACGGGAGGCAGCCGUCGGGAAUAUUGCACAAUGAGCGAAAGCUUGAUGCAGCAACGCCGCGUGCGCGAUGAAGGUCUUCGGAUCGUAAAGCGCUUUUCGGGGGGAUGAGGAAGGACAGUACCCCCGGAAUAAGUCACGGCUAACUACGUGCCAGCAGCCGCGGUAAAACGUAGGUGGCGAGCGUUAUCCGGAUUUACUGGGCGUAAAGCGUGUUCAGGCGGUUUGGAAAGUCGGGCAUUAAAUCUCUUGGCUCAACCAGGAGGCGCUGUCCGGUACUCCCAGACUUGAGGGUAACAGAGGGCGGUGGAAUUCCGGGUGUAGUGGUAAAAUGCGUAGAUAUCCGGAGGAACACCAGUGGCGAAGGCGGCCGCCUGGGUUACCCCUGACGCUAAAACACGAAGGCUAGGGUAGAGAACGGGGUUAGAA
rnacentral:rRNA from 1 species